UCUAUUUAAAAACUUGAGGCAAACACUAUUAAUAUUUUCACUUUAAAGAUGAAGCCCUGAGGAACAGAGAGAUCACUCGGCCAGUAAGUGGUAGAAUCAGGAUUCAGUCCAGAGCAGCUGACUCCAGAACCUACGCAGCUAAAAACAAGGAUCUUGGAGUCGACUGUCUGGCUUCGAAUUCUGAUUCCAUCUACAGCACUUAGAUUACUGCCUGCUAUGGGAGAGACAGAGCUAGCAAGAGAGAGCACAAGCGGGAAGAAGGGGGAGAAGCAGUCUACCCGCCAAGCUGGGAGCCUGAUGUGGGACUCAGUCCCAGGAACCUGGGAUCAUGACCUGAGCCGAAGGCAGACGCUUAACCGACUGAGCCAUCCAGGCGGCUGCAAUUUUUUUAAAAAGCAAUAUAAAAAAAUUUGCCCAAGCCUAAAACAAGUGAACAGAAAUAAAUGGUGUACUUCUGAGAUGCAGGAAUUCCAAAAGAGUCAAGGGCUUCCUGCACUAAAGAAACACAGAAAAGAAUCAAGGGCACCUUCUUGAUCCGAACUAUAGAAGCUGCAGGGGAAGUUGGAGUUGCACUAGCUGAACACCCUGCGAGAGAGACAAGAUGCUGUGUGGAGAGCCUCAGGGAUGGAGGGAAAAGAAGUGAUGCCUCUGUAUUGUCAGGAACUAACACAUUGCCUGGAACUCAAUAAAUUUUUGUUGAAAUAAUAAGGAUGACUUUUGAUAUGGCAGUUAUGAAUAAUUCUGCACAGCACAAAAAGUUGCUACAGAUAAUUAAAGUUAACUAUAAAAUCAUACAGAAGUUUUCCAGUAAGUUGAAACUUGUGCAGUUGUAAUGUCUCAAUACAUUACAUUUUGGAAGAAGAUGGGGGAAAUAAAACGAUGAAAAUGAUAUAAAGUGAUUUUUUUAAAAAUUAAAGCAUAAAAGAUGAGAAGUUUACUAUAUGUUAUGUGAUGACUUUCUAAUUCUGAACUACUUAAAGAUAAUUGUUUCUUUGCGUUGGUGGUAUAGUGGUGAGCAUAGCUGCCUUCCAAGAUAAUUGUUUCUUUGAUGACAUAUGUUUUUCCGUAUAUACAUAUAUUUGAUGCAUAUCCUCUUACAUAUAUUUUUCCUAACAGUGACCAAAAUAAGUCUUUAUAAAUUAAAAAAUCUAAAUAAAAAACAUAAUUCAUUCCUAACAAACUGAUGCUCUGAAAUAUGAAUGCUAUAGGUCAAUGACUAUAUCAAAACCCUAAGAUUUUAAAAAUAUACAUCUAUUUAAUACAUAAAGCAAUACAUUUAUAGCAGAGUGUUGAUGUAAAUGUGGGGAAAGAUUUCCUUAAAAGAAAUAAUUUCACAGUCACUCUGUGUAUAUAAAGAUGAUUCUCAGGGCAGUCCCCCAAUUAACAGGGAGAGAAAAAGAGAGAGAAUUUAAUUAAUGUGCAUUAAGAACUUUUUAAUUUCCUAGGACGACUGCUGAGAGAAGGGUUGGUGGGGCCCAGAAUAAGGUAAACAGAGAGUAAGGAAGGAGAAGCAUGCAGAAUACAGGAAGAGAGGACCUAGGGAGAGUGUAUCAAUAAUGGGAAAUGGCUUGCGGACGUGAAACACAAGGGAUUUCAUCUUGAACUAGAAGUUGUCUGUUAUGCAAUCCUGAAAAAAUAAACCUUGUCUUUGUCUUCAGACUUUCAGAGUUUGGUAGAGAAAUUGUCAUUUUUUAUCACAAUUAAAAAAAUUUGAUAUUUACUAUAGUCAAGUGAGCUUCAGAAGGACAACUAUAUUUAUUUUUAACACAUAUUGCCUUGACACUCUGAAAAAAAUUUUUAUUGUGGAAAAUUUCAGUAACAUAAAAAGGUAGCGAUAAAUAUAAUUAUCAUCUAACUUAAGUAACGAUCAACUCAUAGCUGAUUUUGGUUUAUAAACUCCACUGCAUCCUCCACUGCUUGCUUGCCCUGGACUAUUUUGAAGCAAAUGCCAAACAUUGUAUCAUU